CUCACCCUGCCCCCUCACCUCGCGGGCCCCACCGCGCGCACCCCUCCUCUUGCCGCUUGCGGCUUCCUCUGGCUCGUUGUUUGGCUUGCCUUUGGGGGGGCAACAAUGGGGAGUCUCUGGGGCGUGCCAGCGGAGGAGGAAGUCAGGAUGUCACGGGUCUCUGUCCUGUUGAGUUGAGCUGCAGAACUCUCCUGUGAAUUCUCCUAGGUGAGUCCACCACUUCACUAUGCUGCCUGUUCCUUAUCUGCCACUGUCGAAUCUAUCUGC
rnacentral:lncRNA from 1 species